CAGAAAGCAGGAGUGAAAAUUACAACUCCAGGUAUCCUACAAAUCCAUUUACAAUACCAUCAGUUUCAUACUUGCUUUUCCAGGAGAUGACAAUCAAGAGCUUCGCCAUUGAAUAUGAUGCCUUAAAUGACCGCGGCACCUUCAGUAAUGGGGAUACUUUGACAGGCAGAGUUAUCGUGGAGGUCUCAAAGAAGACAAAGAUCAAGUCUCUUACUGUCAAGGCAAAAGGCAAAGCCAAUGUGUCAUGGACUGAGACACAUGGGGAAGAAAAUGUGACCUACUGGGAUAAAGAGAAGUAUUUCUCACAAACUCAGUCUGUCUUACCAGAGGAUAUAUCAGAUGGCUCUGUCACACUUGUGGCUGGACCACAUGUGUUCCCGUUUGCGUUCCAACUUCCAUACCAAGGUCUACCCUCAUCUUUUAAAGGUGCAAAUGGUAAAAUCCACUACAGACUUUUGGCCAAGUUGAGUAGGUCUCUGCAUGCUGCAAGCAAAUCCGAAAUAAAGUUCACCUUUGUUUCCCAAUCUGAUUAUGAUCAGACAACACUCAUGGCACCUCAGCAUGGCAGUAAAGACAAGAAUGUCAUAUUCUUUGCCUCUGGAAAUAUUUCUAUGAAUAUUUUUUUGCCAAAGACAGGCUAUCAGCAAGGUGAAGGGCUGGUUGUCAAUGGUGAAAUCAUCAACAGCUCAACUCGAAAAAUUGUGCCAAAGUACAUUAUCUACCAGAAGCAAAGCUUCUUUGCUGGGGGUAACAGAGCAGUCUAUACCACUGAGAUUCUGAAGGAGAAGGGAGACUCUUUAGCUUCUUCCACCAGAGAGAAUCUGUCUAAAGUAUUAACCAUUCCCUCAGGAAUCACCCCCACCAUCCAAAACUGCCGCAUCCUUAAUGUGGAGUAUAGACUAAAGGUACAUAUUCAAAAACUCUACUAUGAUUUACAAGGUUUUCUAAAAGGGUUUUAUUUAAUUUCCACAGCAGAUGAUUUAUGUGGUUUGUAUUCCAGCAAGGACAUUUGUGGAGAUUUUUGAGAAGAACAAUGUAAUUCAACAGUAAUUGGCUAAUUUGUUUCAAUAAUUCCCCAAUUACAGUAACAUUAUUGGGUCCACCUCUCUUUUGAAAGACUUUUAUGUCUUAUUUCCUGUAUUAAACAGUGAAAGGGGAAGUGUGGCUUGUGUAUCUUGCAACCUCUACAGUAUGUGUGUGCAACAUAUGCAGAACAGCAACAAAAUCAGCUUGAAAUUUCCUAAUAUCCACCCCUCUUACCAUCCACCAAUAUCAGACUUUAAAGUAUAUAACCAAAUCAAACAGAUUUAAACAUUAUCAAUGUGGUAAAUUUGUGUAAAAGGCAUUGUGAUAUUUCUUUGUUCACUGAAAAUAAAUAAAUAAAAAUAAAUGUUUGCUCAACGUAUAAAAAUAAAAAGCUUCUACUAAAAAAUGCACAUAUUUAUAAAAGUUUUAGUUUUACUACAUUUUCGUUAAUGUGUACAACACAAAAUAUACAUUUUAAGGUAAACUUAAGAGAGUUACAUAAAGUAAAUUAAAUAUUGUGAGUUCCUUGAACUUCUUUAGCUUACAAAUCAAUAACAUUUUAUGUAAUACUAACUCAAACAAUUAAGUACAGAACGGGAACUAAGGUUGUUGGGAAUAACCAUAAGCCCUUGUGCAUAAAUAAUUUAAGCAUGUUUGUUUUUUCAAAAGGAAGUUAUGUGGGUCAAAAGGAAGUUAUAUAGAAUAAUUGAUGCUGAUUUACUGUUAAUUGCCAUUUCGUGUAAAGUCACCAUUUGGGUGAUUAAUGUCAAAUUGAAUUCUGUUCAGUUGAUGCCAUCUUUCCUUGAGCAUGUUAAUAUGCAUUGCUAAAAAUGCAGCUUCAUGUGCACUUCUUUGUGGAAACAAGUUUAAAACCUGACCUCAGUUAUUGUUUUCUUUAAAGUAAAUGAAGUAGAAACAGUUAUAUAAAUGUUUCUUUAAAACAACUUGCUAUUUGUUGCUAAAUCUUAUUUGUGUGACAUACAUUUUUAAGCAAAUAAAGUGGAAUGAACUGAUACAUUUGUGUAUAUUUCACAAAGGUUUUCUAGUUGUGCUCACAUGAAAUGACCAUAAGAUGAAUUUACUUAAAAAGCAUAAUGUAGAAAGGUUACGUUUGUAUUGUAAGUAAAUCCAACAACAUUUUUUUGUUGUUGUUGUUAGUGGUUUUUAUGUUAAUAUUUAUGCAUUUGGCAGAAACUUUUAUCCCAAGCGAAUUACAGUGCAGCUGAGGAGUACAUUUUAAUCAUUUUUGUGAGGAUUGAACCCAUGAUCUUUGCUUUGCUAGCACCAUGCUCUACCAGUUGAGCUAGUUUUUUUGUGAUUGGGUUUAUUUUGUUUGGUAAGUGGAUAUGUGUAAAUGACUGAUUUUACAAUGAAGUCUUUGUUUAUGAAUAGUGUAUUUGUUUAAAUGGAACUAAAGGAUGAAAAUUAAAGACAGGUAUCUUGCAAAUAAAACACAUUCAUGGA